GACGAACGCUGGCGGCGUGCCUAAUACAUGCAAGUAGAACGCACGGUUUAUACCGUAGCUUGCUACACCAUAGACUGUGAGUUGCGAACGGGUGAGUAACGCGUAGGUAACCUGCCUGGUAGCGGGGGAUAACUAUUGGAAACGAUAGCUAAUACCGCAUAAUAUUAAUUAUUGCAUGAUAAUUGAUUGAAAGAUGCAACUGCAUCACUACCAGAUGGACCUGCGUUGUAUUAGCUAGUAGGUGAGGUAACGGCUCACCUAGGCGACGAUACAUAGCCGACCUGAGAGGGUGAUCGGCCACACUGGGACUGAGACACGGCCCAGACUCCUACGGGAGGCAGCAGUAGGGAAUCUUCGGCAAUGGACGAAAGUCUGACCGAGCAACGCCGCGUGAGUGAAGAAGGUUUUCGGAUCGUAAAGCUCUGUUGUAAGAGAAGAACGGGUGUGAGAGUGGAAAGUUCACACUGUGACGGUAUCUUACCAGAAAGGGACGGCUAACUACGU
rnacentral:rRNA from 1 species